GCCUGGCGUGGCCGUCCCAGGGGUUUGCAGCUGGAAGGACCGCGCUUUGCGAGCGCUUUGCGAGCUCGGCGAGCGAGUGGGAGAUCUCCAACCACUCCAAGAAGCUCCCGAGGGCAGAUCUGCGCCUUCUCGGGUGCAUUUACUCUGUACGCCUAGACGCAGGUAACAGCCUUUCCAUAUGUGAAGUGGAGGAGGGAGAUGGGACCUGUUUAUGGAGUCUGCACUGCAAAUGGGCCAGAAAAAUAACAGCUCUUUACCGAGUGCUACCAAGCUCAUCCUCCGCUAGGCCAUGCCUCGGCCUAACAGCUUCGGAAACACACGGGCUCAGCAGAACAGAAGGCUGGGUGUUGGUGUGAACGGCACACGGCUCUCAUGGGACUGCCCCAGCGCUGAUCUGCAGAAGGUAACUGAAGAAACGCCACCAAGAAUCAAGAAACCACACCAGCGAAAGAAGGAGCCAGAUGGAAAGGAAUGCUUCUGAGCCGAUUUUAUGGAGGGCUGAGAAAACGCAGCAUCUACAAAGGAAAAGGACAUGUUUAACACGCUCCGGAUUCGAGGUUAAGCUGCAAUAAAGAUGCAAAUCCGAUAAGAAAUGACCCCAGCAGUUCAGUGCCCAGAUCCGCAGGGUUCCGCAAUGACAGCCACUUCAGUGCUCACCAUUGAAAUGAGAUGAAUAUCCAAAAUGCUUCCUCCCUGGAGAGAAGUUUUGACAGGUUUAGGAAAAUAUAAAUCUAGCAAUCGGCUCAGGACGCUGUGGGAAGGCUAAGCCAGAACUCUGGGAGUCGGGGUUCCCUGCUGCCCACUCACUCACUGCCUGUGAGACCUUAGGUCUGGCUCUCAGCAGGACCAGAGUUUUCUCCCUGUUUUCUUCUUCUUGGAGGCUAAGUGAUAGCUCAGGAGGGAUGAGAAUCCCUGAGUGGAACUGAAGGAGAAGAGGGCUGGAGAAGCUGUUGGGAUCCAGAGACAGGAGAAAGAGGCAGUAAAAAGACCACAAAAAACCUCAGGAGAACUAAAUUAGAAGGCUUCUAGCAAAAUUGCUGUUAUUUGGGACAAAUUGGUCACUAAGAUGGUAAAUAUGUAGGCUUCAAUGUAGCCUGUUUAGGAGAGAUUGAACUUAAUGCAGAAACCCUAUUUUCAAGAAAAAAAAAAGUAGACAUGGUCCAAUGAAUAUUUUUUUUCUGAUUUGAAAAUUCAUGUGUGAAAAAUUUAAACAAGUCUUACAAUGAAGCCAUUUGAAGGAGGCCAAGAGAAUGUGUGUUCAUGAGAGGUUCCUCCUGUGGGCGAUGGGGUGAGGUCCAAAUGGGGGCUCGGAGACGGCGGGGAAGGAGCCUCAGAGCUGCUGUUCCUGAGGUCCAAGAACCCAGUGUUUUUCCUCCAACUCUUAUUAGCCAUUGGUCAAUGGCUGCCGCUGGUGGUGUUAACUCCCUGGCACUUCUGGCAUGUUCUGAGCAAACAGGAAAAGUCUUUAGUUUGGUGCUCCAAGUACAGUUUUCGGAGGGCUCUGAGAACCAGUAGCCUCCACACACACCUAUGAGAGAAAGCAGGCUGCCUCCCAGGCCAUUAUCAAGGGCCCUAAUAACACUGGCUUAUGAAUAUACGAGAUGAGCCCACAGAUAACCACGGCCACCCUGGAAUUACUGGUUCCCCAGGAUAAGGUCUACUGCUCAUCUCUGACUGGCCCUAGGCCCAGGAAAACAGAAAUGACAGCGUGGCCUCUGCUCGCUGCUGUGGAUGAGUUAUUCUGUUCCUCUAACAACCGGCUGGAUUCAUUUAGGCAAUUCGCACUCUGCUCUUUUCUAGACGGAUACCUUAACCACAUUUUCAACCCUGAGUGGCCAAGUCCACCAGCCCCUGAGAUGAAAGGUGACAAGUGCUCUCCCAGCAGAGCCCAUCAGCCAAGGGCUUUGACCUUGGGGUUGCCAGCCACAGGGGGCACAUUGUUCUCCUGCUUCCUUAUUAUUUCUGAGGCUGUCUGGGAGCUUCGUCAGCUCAAGCUUGAAAUCUUAUACAUUAUGCCUACCUGCUGGCUAAACAAGAGCUGUAUUGAUAACUUCGUUUGUGGUUUACAGAUAUUUUACACUUCUUAUUUAAUCUGCAUCCAGAUCUGCCCAUAUACUCCCGUCCCUGUCAAACCUAACAAUAUUUAAGUGCCUACAUUUGCCAAUAGCCCGUGUGAUCAUGUGAAUUUUCGCCAAUGGCCCAGCUGAGUCUGUGUCUUCAUUUGCCUGCUUGGGGUCUGAUAAUAGAUGAUCUCUAAACAGAAUUUACAGCAUUAUCAGCUGGAGAUUAACAAUAUCAAUCUCAUUUUUUCUUUUUCGUUUCACAGCAGCUGCUUUAUAACCUGAUCUACUUUGUUGUAUUUAUUGUCUUAUUAGUCAGAAUAUUUGCCAUAAAUUCAGAGCCAUUAUACCAGUGGCUCAUCCAUUGCUCAUAAAAAAAAAUGCUGUAUUACUUCAGCUUCUCAGCUGAUAGAUACUUUCAUAAGAAAACUAGAAAGCUUCCAGCAAUGUGUCUGAUAUAUGGCCGCCACCUUUUCCUCACUUCCAAAUGAUACCAAGGUCUAAGAAAGCAACAUGGCUGGAUGUGGAAUGGAUUUUCAUGCAAGUGAUGUCUUGUAAUUUGGGUCUAAAAUGUAAGAUUCUUGCUUUGAAAGCCGUUACUAACUAAUUGGUGAGAAAUUAUGUCUCAGAGUGCUAUUUUAUGAAUAGUGUUCUUAUGUGUUUUCAGAAAUAUUUAGCAAGUAUCAGCCAAGCAUCAAGUGCUUCUGGGUCCUGAGCAAAGAUGAAAAGUCAGAAUUUUCCACUUGAAAGAGAGCAGAUGUCCCAGAAAAGGCAGGAGACACAUGUACAGGCUCAUAGGAAUAAAACCCAUGAACUCAGGAUGUUCAAAUGCCUCCAUUCUUCUGGGGCAUGAAGAGAGGAGCAGGAAUGGUAGAGAUAUUCUGGAAGGUGGUCAGGAGUCAGGGAAAAAUCAAUCUUAUGUGCCCUAGAAGGAUCCUGGUUGUUGUGUUCUCAGUAGUGAGCACCCACAGAGGAUGUGCAAGGGUGACCAGCUUUUUAUAUAAGAAAGAUGACCCCUCUACAGUGUAGAGAGUAUGACAAGAGGCAAGAAGCUCAGUAUGAAGACCAUUUCAGUGAUCUGGAGGAAAGGCGAAGAGAAGAAAAGAGAUGUGGAAAUUACACAUAAUGCAGAACAGAUAGGACUGAAUGUAUUAGUCAAUUUUCUGUUACUAUAAUGAAGUACCUGCAGCUGUUGCUUUAUAAAGAAAAUAGGUUUAUUUAGGUCACUGUUUUGGAAGUUCGGGGGCAUGAUUCUAGCAUCAACUUGACUCUUGUGAGGAUCUCACGGUGGAUGGCAUCACAAUGGUGGAGUGUAGGAAAGGAAAGAUUACAUCACAAGACAGGAAGCCAAAGAGAGACUGGGGUCCCCUGGGAACUAAGUUGAUUUCCUCCAAGGACAGUGCCUCCCAGGGACCUAAGGGCUUCCCACUAGGCUCCACCUCUUAACGGUCCCACAACCUCUUAGCAUUGCUACACCAGACACCAAGCUUCCAACACAUGAACCCUUGGGAGACAAACCUCAUCCAAACCACGGCAUUGAAGAAAGAAUGAGAUUUGUAGUCUUAGACGGAGUCAAAUCCAUAACACUCAAGUUUCAAGCUUGGGCAAGAGGUGAAUGUCGAAGUGCUUUGUGAAAAUGGGGGAUAGAGGAGCAGGAGCAAAAUCGAGGAGAAGACAAAGUGUUUAUCCAUGAGCACCUUGAACUUCACAUGCCUCAGGGUCUUACAAGUAACUGCCAUGCCGAGGAUAGGAGCAAUAUCUCCGUGAAAACUGAAUGCUUGGUAUUCAUGAGCAGAGUAGCUGAAUUUGAAGUCAUAAGAGUGAAUAAAAUUGCCCAAUUUUGUAGAACGAUAAGGGGAGGGAGAGCUGAAGAUUGAGCCCAUCCUUCACAGAUUACACAAAGGAAAUUGGGCAAGGUCUAUGAGGAAGCCCGGAAGAGGUAAUGGCCUAGAGAUUUACAAGUAACUCUUACAAAGAUGGUGUACCAAUGGCCCAGUGCACCAAUCAUCCGUGAACAGACCAGCCUUGUUUCUUUCCUGUCUCAGUCUACCUUCUCCUCCCAGAUUCUUUGGAACAAGUCCCAGGCGCUGUAGCAUGACAUCCCUAGGCAUGCAAGCGUCCAGCCGUGCAAGACAGAACACUUUUUACACAUAACCUCGUUGUUUGUGUUUUGUGGGCCUCCGUAGGCUUCCGUUGUCUGAAGGAAUGUUCUUUUAAUCCCAUUCUCUGUUUUCUUGUGAAACUUAGAAUGAUCCAACCAUGCUCUGUUGCUGUUGUUUUUUUGUGAUUAUGAGUAAUAUUCUGGCACAAAGAGUUUUCCUGCACUUGUCCCCAGGAGAGAGCUCCAGCGUAGCUUUUCUUGUGUCUGUUGUUAUUGCAAAAGUGGACAGAAAUGAUCGAGUGUAGGUACAUGCAUGAUGGCAUGAAUGGUGUGACUCUACUUUGUGUACAGAGAAGUGAAAAGGUAUGCUCCAUUUGUGUAGUAUGAAUCAAAGUGCAUUCUGCUGCUAGAACAAAUAAAUUUUUAAAAAAUGA